UGACGGCGUAGCCUAAUGGAUAAGGCGUCGGUCUUCGGAACCGAAGAUUGCGGGUUCGAGUCCCGUCGCCGUUAA
rnacentral:tRNA from 1 species